rnacentral:rRNA from 1 species
GACAUCGCCGGGGUAGGCGCCGUGGUAAGACGUAGAGUCCAUGCGUUAUGCCAAAUCAUUGGGUUUAAAGGGUGCGCAGGCGGUCUUAUAAGUAAGGUGGGAAAGCCCAUCGAUAAACGAUGGAACUGCCAUUGAUACUGUAAGACUUGAAUGCUUAGGAAGUAACGAGAAUAUGUAGUGUAGCGGUGAAAUGCUUAGAUAUUACAUGGAAUACCAAUUGCGAAGGCAGGUUACUACUAAGUGAUUGACGCUGAUGGACGAAAGCGUGGGGAGCGAACAGGAUUAGAUACCCCGGUAGUC